rnacentral:lncRNA from 1 species
CACUUGAAGAAAAUGUAUCAGGAAAAUACAUGAUGCAAAUUCAUGAAUUAUUAGGUGUCCAUUUAUAUUCCCAUGUCUCUAGAGUUAUCCAUGUGGUCCUAUAAAUAGAGGUCAUUCUUGUAGUCUCAUUGUAAGAAAAAAAAGAAGAAAACAUUAUUGAGUGUGCUGUAGCAACUCAAAAACUAUCAAUAAAAAUUCAAGUUUUUCUUCAACACUUCGUUUCCGCACUAACAAAUUCAAC